UCAAUUCCUUUUAUCGCAUAAAUGAUAUUUUUUUCCAUCAGUGAAGGUCACACACACUUAACAGCAAGAAGCAGCAAACAGGUCCAGCGCGGACACUAUUUCCUUUGUGUGUAAAGAAACACUGGUUUAAUGAAGCCUUGGAUGACGGACAAUUAAUGUUCUCGUUCAAAAUUAAGUGUUAGAAGAAAAGGGAAAUUCACAGCAAAAGAACACUAAGUAAUUUGAGUAAAAGAGGGUAAACUUUAAUUUUGUGCCCUUUCCCAGUGUCUAAUGUAGUUAUACACGAUUUUUCUUAAUGCGCGGUCUAAUUUGAAACCUGACCUCCGUGUAAAAGGAGGAAUUACUGUAGUGUACAAAACAUCAUGCUCAAUAGUACAAGAAAUUGACCAACACAUUAUACUGAACUUGAUGUUACAGGAAAUAAAAAACAACAACAAUACAUUAAGAAAACAACCACAAUCUCCAUAAUGUUGUGGAGGUGGUGGUGGUGGUGCAGGCCAGUAUACCCUCAACACCACACACAGUCCACCACAGUCACAUCCAUAAUGUUGUGGUGGUGGUGGUGGUGGUGGUGCAGGCCAGUACCCUCAACACCACACACAGUCCACCACAAUUUCCUCUAUAAUGUUGUGGAGGUGAUGGUGGUGGUGGUGCAGGCCAGUACCCUCAACACCACACACAGUCCACCACAAUUUCCUCUAUAAUGUUGUGGAGGUGGUGGUGGUGGUGCAGGCCAGUAUAUCCUUACAGCACCACGCCACAGUCCACCACAAUUUCCUCUAUAAUGUUGUGGUGGUGGUGGUGGUGGUGCAGGCCAGUAUAUCCUUACAGCACCACGCCACAGUCCACCACAAUUUCCUCUAUAAUGUUGUGGUGGUGGUGGUGGUGGUGCAGGCCAGUAUAUCCUUACAGCACCACGCCACAGUCCACCACAGUCACCUCCAUAAUGUUGUGGUGGUGGUGGUGGUGGUGCAUGCCAGUAUACCCUUACAGCACCACACCACAGUCCACCACAGUCACCUCCAUAAUGUUGUUGUGGUGGUGGUGGUGGUGCAUGCCAGUAUACCCUUACAGCACCACACCACAGUCCACCACA